UCCAGGGGGCGAACGCGGAGGCGCCAGCGCGGUCUCAGUCUGCGGGAAGGGGCUGCACCUAGCGGGUCGGGGGGCGCGGCCUCCACCCGGAAUCCUAGCCCAGUUCUGGGCCUUCAGUCGUUCUACCACCGCCACCCGCACCCCUCCCCGCACUGCCGCACGUUCAUGCCCCGCACGGCCGCUUCAGCCUCUCAAGUUCACAGCCCGCCUAAUCGCACGAGGAGCCUCCUCCAGGCCAGGCCCUCCGGCUCGGGGCUGGGCACCCCUAUAAGACGACUCCAGCUGGUUCCCCUUCCUCUGAGCUUUCGGGGUCCACCUGCUUUUACAGGUUAAUGUUACUUGGUGAUUAGAAGUGGAAUGCUAAGAAGACCCCCACCAACUCCAAGGCUGGUAAACAGACAUGCCAGCAUGGCCACAGAGUCAGCUGGGCACCUACUGCUUUCUGGCUGACCCUGGAGUUUGAGCCCUAGGUGUGACCUGACACUGUGUUGUGAUAUAACUUCUGUAAGGUAGCCACAGAAUCUGGAGGUUUUUCACUUGCAUCAAGUCCAGACCCCUUCUUGCCCUGCCAUAAUCUGCCCCAGUGGGAAGACCUCCUUGUUCUCAUAAUCCUUUGGUCUCUAGUCUGGCCUCAGAAUCUGCUUUUCAUCAUUCUGGUCUGCUGCUUCUCACAAAUGAGCAAACAUGGCCCCGGCCAGCAUUAGAACACCGCAGCUGCUAAUACAAAGUGCUUCUUCUGUACUUGAGUCCUCUUCAAGAUAUAACAUGUAGGGGCACCUGGGUGGUUCAGUGGGUUAAGCCUCUGCCUUCAG